AGAGUCUUGCUCUGUUGCCCAGACAGGAAUGCAGUGGUGCAAUCAUGGCUUACUGCAGCCUCUACCUCCUAGGCUCAAGCAAUCUUCCUGCUUCAGCCUCCUGAGAGUAGCUGGGACUACAGCAGUGUGUCCCAGAAAGCUCGAGAUCUCUUGCAUGGCCAUGAUGUGAAAGUCUGGAAAUGGGAUCCACCGCUCCUCUCUCGAUCAGAAGAUUUUUACAGCCCCACCCUACUGAUCAUUAGGGAUUUGUAAACUAUUACCCAGGAAGAAGGC